UACGUAGGGUGCGAGCGUUGUCCGGAAUUAUUGGGCGUAAAGAGCUCGUAGGCGGUCUGUUGCGUCGGCUGUGAAAACCCGGGGCUCAACUCCGGGCUUGCGGGCGAUACGGGCAGGCUAGAGUUCGGUAGGGGAGACUGGAAUUCCUGGUGUAGCGGUGAAAUGCGCAGAUAUCAGGAGGAACACCGAUGGCGAAGGCAGCUCGCUGGGACGGUACUGACGCUGAGGCGCGAAAGCGUGGGGAGCGAACAGG
rnacentral:rRNA from 1 species